rnacentral:rRNA from 1 species
CUACGGGUUGCUCCAGUGAGGAAUAUUGCACAAUGGGGGGAACCCUGAUGCAGCAACGCCGCGUGGAGGGUGACGCAUUUCGGUGUGUAAACUCCUUUUAUAUGUCAAGAAAAUGACGGUAGCAUAUGAAUAAGCACCGGCUAACUCCGUGCCAGCAGCCGCGGUAAUACGGAGGGUGCAAGCGUUACUCGGAAUCACUGGGCGUAAAGGACGCGUAGGCGGGUUGGAAAGUCAGGUGUGAAAUCCUACAGCUUAACUGUAGAACUGCACUUGAAACUUCUAAUAUAGAGUAUGGGAGGGGGAGAUGGAAUUAGUGGUGUAGGGGUAAAAUCCGUAGAUAUCACUAGGAAUACCUAAAGCGAAGGCGAUCUCCUGGAACAUUACUGACGCUAAGGCGUGAAAGCGUGGGGAGCAAACAGGAUUAGAUACCCCUGUAGUC